rnacentral:rRNA from 1 species
AUUGAACGCUGGCGGCAGGCCUAACACAUGCAAGUCGAACGAGCGGCGGACGGGUGAGUAAUGUCUGGGAAACUGCCUGAUGGAGGGGGAUAACUACUGGAAACGGUAGCUAAUACCGCAUACCAUCAGAUGUGCCCAGAUGGGAUUAGCUUGUUGGUGGGGUAACGGCUCACCAAGGCGACGAUCCCUACCUGGUCUGAGAGGAUGAUCAGUCACACUGGAACUGAGACACGGUCCAGACUCCUACGGGAGGCAGCAGUGGGGAAUAUUGCACAAUGGGCGCAAGCCUGAUCCAGCCAUGCCGCGUGUGUGAAGAAGGUCUUCGGAUUGUAAAGCACUUUUAGUUGGGAGGCGUUACCAACAGAAUAAGCACCGGCUAACUUCGUGCCAGCCGCCGCGGUAAUAC